rnacentral:rRNA from 1 species
GAAAACGACUGCUAAGACUGGAUAGGAGACAAGAAGGCAUCUUUUUGUUUUUAAAAGACCUAGCAAUAGGUAUGCUUAGGGAGGAGCUUGCGUCACAUUAGUUAGUUGGUGGGGUAAAGGCUUACCAAGACUAUGAUGUGUAGCCGGGCUGAGAGGUUGAACGGCCACAUUGGGACUGAGACACGGCCCAAACUCCUACGGGAGGCAGCAGUAGGGAAUUUUCGGCAAUGGAGGAAACUCUGACCGAGCAACGCCGCGUGAACGAUGAAGUAUUUCGGUACGUAAAGUUCUUUUAUUAGGGAAGAAUAAAUGAUGGAAAAAUCAUUCUGACGGUACCUAAUGAAUAAGCCCCGGCUAACUAUGUGCCAGCAGCCGCGGUAAUACAUAGGGGGCAAGCGUUAUCCGGAAUUAUUGGGCGUAAAGGGUGCGUAGGCGGUUAAAUAAGUUUAUGGUCUAAGUGCAAUGCUUAACAUUGUGAUGCUAUAAAAACUGUUUAGCUAGAGUAAGAUAGAGGCAAGUGGAAUUCCAUGUGUAGUGGUAAAAUGCGUAAAUAUAUGGAGGAACACCAGUAGCGAAGGCGGCUUGCUGGGUCUUUACUGACGCUGAGGCACGAAAGCGUGGGGAGCAAACAGGAUUAGAUACCCUGGUAGUCCACGCCGUAAACGAUGAGUACUAAAUGUUGGGUAAAACCAGUGUUGAAGUUAACACAUUAAGUACUCCGCCUGAGUAGUACGUACGCAAGUAUGAAACUUAAAGGAAUUGACGGGACUCCGCACAAGCGGUGGAUCAUGUUGUUUAAUUCGAAGGUACCCGAAAAACCUCACCAGGUCUUGACAUGCUUCUGCAAAGCUGUAGAAACACAGUGGAGGUUAUCAGUUGCACAGGUGGUGCAUGGUUGUCGUCAGCUCGUGUCGUGAGAUGUUGGGUUAAGUCCCGCAACGAGCGCAACCCUUAUUGUUAGUUGCCAGCACGUAAUGGUGGGGACUUUAGCAAGACUGCCAGUGAUAAAUUGGAGGAAGGUGGGGACGACGUCAAAUCAUCAUGCCCCUUAUGACCUGGGCUACAAACGUGAUACAAUGGCUGUUACAAAGGGUAGAUGAAAUGUAAGUUUUUGGCGAAUCUCAAAAAAACAGUCUCAGUUCGGAUUUAAGUCUGCAACUCGACUUCCUGAAGUUGGAAUCGCUAGUAAUCGCGAAUCAGCAUGUCGCGGUGAAUACGUUGACGGGGUUUGUACACACCGCCCGUCA